rnacentral:rRNA from 1 species
UGCCCACUGAAUUUUAAUUAAAGGGCCGCAGUAAUUUAACUGUGCUAAGGUAGCAUAAUAAAUUGCCUUUUAAUUGGGGGCUGGAAUGAAUGAUUGGACAAAAGACAAGCUGUCUUUUUUAUAGAAAUGUGAAUUUUACUUUUAAGUGAAAAGGCUUGAAUAUUUUAGGGGGACGAUAAGACCCUUUAAAGCUUAACGAGAUUAUUAUAAUUUAUAAAGUAAGGUGUGAAAGGUGUCAUUUUGUUUCUUGUUUCAUUGGGGCGAUGAUGAUAGAAUAAGUAACUGUCAAGAAUAUAAAAUAGCUUUAGCUAGAAGUUAAGAUCCUUAGAUUUAAAGAUUAAAAGAAAANNUUACUUAAGGGAUAACAGCGUGAUUUUUUUAAAGAGUUCUUAUCGANNAAAGUAGUUGCGACCUCGAUGUUGAAUUAAGAUUAA